GAGGCGGGGCCAGGACGGCGGGACCGGCCGCUGAGUCCCAGCGAGGGCUGAGCCGGGCGGUGGGAGGAGGUCAGGAUGGUGGGGGAAUGGCAUGCUGGGGACCUCAUGGUGCCCUUAGGGCCUCGGCUGCAGGCAUAUCCUGAAGAACUCAUUCGACAGAGGCCUGGGCAUGACGGGCAUCCUGAAUACCUGAUCCGAUGGAGUGUCCUGAAGUGUGGGGAAGAGGGCAAAGUGGGUGUAGAAGAAGGCAAAGCAGAGCACAUCCUCAUGUGGCUGUCGGCUCCUGAGGUCUAUGCCAACUGCCCUGGGCUGUUAGGUGAGCGGGCGCUAUCUAAGGGACCUCAGCACGAACCAGCUGGGGUUUCAGGAAGCUUUCCUCGAGAUCCAGGAGGCCUGGAUGAAGUGGCAAUGGGAGAGAUGGAGGCUGAUGUUCAGGCGCUGGUACGCAGGGCGGCCAGGCAGCUGGCAGAAAGUGGGACCCCAAGCCUCACGGCCGCUGUGCUCCACACCAUCCAUGUGCUCAGUGCCUACGCCAGCAUCGGGCCCCUCACUGGUGUCUUCAGGGAGACAGGAGCCCUGGACCUGCUCAUGCACAUGUUGUGCAAUCCUGAGCCUCAGAUCCGCCGGAGUGCAGGCAAAAUGCUGCAGGCUCUGGCAGCCCACGAUGCUGGGAGUCGGGCUCACGUCCUUCUAUCACUGAGCCAGCAAGAUGGCAUCGAGCAGCACAUGGAUUUUGACAGUCGCUAUACAUUGCUGGAGCUGUUUGCAGAAACCACAUCCUCUGAAGAACACUGCAUGGCCUUUGAGGGCAUUCAUCUGCCUCAGAUCCCAGGAAAGCUGCUUUUCUCCUUGGUGAAGCGCUACCUUUGUGUCACCUCCCUCCUGGAUCAGCUGAAUAGCAGUCCAGAGCUGGGAGCUGGAGACCAAAGCUCCCCAUGUGCCACAAGAGAGAAAAGCCGGGGACAGCGGGAGCUGGAGUUCAGCAUGGCUGUGGGCAACCUCAUCUCUGAACUUGUGCGGAGCAUGGGCUGGGCCCGGAACCUCAGCGAACAGGGCAUGUCACCUCCCCGGCCAACCCGGUCCAUCUUUCAGCCCUACAUUUCAGGCCCCAGCCUUUUACGCCCCACCAUUGUCACCACCCCCAGAAGACAAGGGUGGGUCUUCCGCCAGCGCUCUGAAUUCUCCAGCCGUAGUGGCUAUGGAGAAUAUGUGCAGCAGACGCUGCAGCCGGGGAUGCGAGUGCGGAUGCUGGAUGAUUAUGAGGAGAUCAGUGCUGGGGAUGAGGGCGAGUUCCGGCAGAGCAACAAUGGCAUUCCCCCUGUGCAGACCCUGGGUGAAAAGGCCUUAGGUGAGAUCUCUGUGUCCGUGGAAAUGGCUGAGAGUCUGCUGCAGGUUCUCAGUAGUCGAUUUGAGGGCAGCACUCUCAAUGACCUGCUCAACUCCCAGAUCUACACCAAGUAUGGGCUGCUGUCUAAUGAACCAAGCAGCUCGUUUACUUCACGAAAUCACUCCUGUACCCCAGAUCCAGAAGAGGAGUCCAAGUCGGAGGCCAGCGUCUCAGAGGAAGAGACUGAGUCCCCCAAAGCAAAGGCCGAGGCCCCUAAGACAGAGGCCGAGCCCACCAAGACAAGGACUGAGCCCCCAAUGGCACAGAGUGAUUCUCAGCUGUUUAACCAGCUUCUAGUGACUGAGGGGAUGACCCUGCCCACUGAGAUGAAGGAGGCAGCCAGUGGUGAGUCAGGUUCUGGGAGGAAGCAAUUGGAACAAGUCCUGGGUAGUCUCAGUAGAAGAAAUGGAUAGUCAGGAUUGAAGGAAAGCCAUGGAGGAAGGUCAUUUUUGCAGGGGAAGAUGCCUUGGAACCAUGCGUCCAUCUUCUUCCUUUUGACCUUGAUUGUAUUUAAUUAACCAGCGCUCCCUUCCUUCAGUAUCUCUGGAAAAGGAGGAUCCGUUUUCUGGGGUGUCUUCAUCUCCUUUGUUUGAUCAUUAGAUCCCUGACACAGAAUUGGAAAACUCUGCAAGCUGCAGUAGCCGAUAAUGUGUUUAAAUAUUGGUAGGAUAACUGGGCUUGACUUUAAAGACUUCUAACUUCAAGAUGCCACAGUUCUUUUAGCCAUUGCCUUUUCCCACCAAUUUCAGAAAUGGCCAGAGCCUUGCGGGGUCCCGGUCCUCGCAGCUCCCUGGAUCAGCAUGUGGCAGCGGUCGUGGCCACUGUGCAGAUAUCCAGCUUGGACACAAACCUGCAGCUUUCAGGGCUCUCUGCCCUCUCUCAGGCUGUGGAGGAGGUCACUGAGCGGGACCACCCUCUGGUCCAUCCUGACAGAUCGCUGAGGUUAGCAUAUUGGGGAGGGAAGAGGUUUUGGUUGAAGCUGUAGGCAAAGGAUGGUGGUAGCGGGGAAGGAGCUUUGAGAUCACGAAUUAGAAAAGCUUGGGGUGAGGGAAGGCUCAGCCUGAGGAGCAGCCGAGCAGGAGGGUUGGAUGUUUUAAUGGCUCGUAUUCUUGGAGCACUUCUGUUAUGCCAGGUACUGUGCUAGUAUUUUACAUGCAUUCUCUCAUUAAAUCCACCUAACACCUG
rnacentral:sRNA from 1 species